UGUAAUCUGUGAUAUUACUUCUUUAUUUAUUUAUGUUUUGCAGAGUAUAAAUACAAACAAAGGAUGACGAACAGAUCUGUACGAGUGCACGCUGCGACGUGUCGCUACGCUCAUCCUCACCAUAACUGCUCCCGCUCUUCCUGGUUAAGAGAUUGGUGCGGUUUAAUACGACCAAGCAGAUCUUCAUUACAGUUGGUAAAGCUGUGUCGUUAUCUCCCCCCUUACCCUCCCUCUCUCCCUCCCUCCUACUCUCCAUCUAUUCUCUACUGCGCUCUCUCUCUCUCUCUGUGUGCACUCUGCGCAUGUAACUAUGAAGAGUCUGAAAACAGGAUUGAAAUAACCACAGUCUCCAUCGUCUGAUUAAUAACUGUGUACACUAUAUUAUAAUAAGGCAAAAAAGUAUUGAUUAAAAUUAAUUUCAAACAAAAAGCAACAAAAAGAAGGAUUUUUGCUUCUUUUCCAUUACAGAUUCUUACAUCCAGAAGAAAAUUGCACCUGAUUACAAUUCUGCCCGACUGCGCUCGAAUCCUAUCUAUCAAUUCCUCUCUAGAGACGAGGCAAAAAAUAGCAGAGGAGCUGCGGAGUAUUUCCUCCUUCAGGUCCUUGGUCCUGGUUCUGUUGUUAUUGUUGCCGUAGUUGUAGCUGUUACUGCGCAGCUCCAUCCUGUCAAGGUCCUUGUGUGUUGGGAAGAGGGCAGCAGGCACGCAGGUGUUAGUGGGGAUGGCGGACAAGGGGGCUGGAGGGACGGGAAGCAUGCAGUUCAGGGGAGAGAGGAGAGAGGGUAGCGGGAUAAAAAUAAAAACUCAGCUAAAUUCUACCCAGUCACCACCAUUAGAAAAAUCCAUUUGGAUCUGCACAAGACAAAACCAAAAAGGAAGACAAAAAAAGAUGUCCCAAGAUGUAAAACAUACAUAUAUAAGCCGUGAAGGUAUAUAUGUAUAAGGAUCCAAGGGAGAAGGAGGAGAAGGACGGGAGAUAAGGGAUGGACGGACGAGGAGGA
ensembl:lncRNA